rnacentral:rRNA from 1 species
AGCGAACGUUAGCGGCGCGCCUUACACAUGCAAGUCGAACGGCAGCGGGUCCUUCGGGAUGCCGGCGAGUGGCGAACGGGUGAGUAAUGCAUCGGAACGUACCGUGUAAUGGGGGAUAACGUAGCGAAAGUUACGCUAAUACCGCAUACGCCCUGAGGGGGAAAGCGGGGGAUCGCAAGACCUCGCGUUAUACGAGCGGCCGAUGUCGGAUUAGCUAGUUGGUGGGGUAAAGGCCCACCAAGGCGACGAUCCGUAGCGGGUCUGAGAGGAUGAUCCGCCACACUGGGACUGAGACACGGCCCAGACUCCUACGGGAGGCAGCAGUGGGGAAUUUUGGACAAUGGGGGCAACCCUGAUCCAGCCAUGCCGCGUGCGGGAAGAAGGCCUCGGUUGU